GCCCCUUCCAUCCUGUGAGAACACAGUGAGAAGGCACCAUCUGUGAAAGAGGAAACUGGCCCUCACCAGAUAGUGAAUCCACAGCCCGUCCAGACAAUUCCUGUUAAUUUUACCUCAAGAUAUAUCCUGAGUCACAGGGUAACAUGGGAUGUUUAAAGUUAUAAGAAGUUAUAAAAUCAUCAAGGGAGUACAGCAUUCAGGAAUGCUUUGAAGAUGUUAGAGAGAACCUGAUAAACUUUCACGGCAUCCUAUAGAAGCUAUGUGAAUAGAAAACAUAGCAAGAAAAUGCUAAGUUGUUUGCACAUGCUUCCCAGUUUUAUUAAUUCAUUCCACAUUCAUAUUGAUACAGAUGGAAAUUAUAAAAGAACUGAAUUUAUGGAUUGAGUUAGCAAUUGAAUCUCCAUGGCAACGUGCAAAAAUUGAGAAAGUAAUUAAAUGUAACAUUUAUAGUUUGUGGAAUAAUUUAGUUAUCUGGUAAUUAUUAGCAUGAUUAUAAAAUGACAUAAACAACUGUAUGGCUCAAAUGUGUGAUUAUGUACAAUAUACGGCAAGCUGGCACUUACUGAACAUAUUAUGCUGCUUUUACAGGCAAUUAAUAAAUACAUCGUGCAA